rnacentral:rRNA from 1 species
AGUAAGAUCCCUCAAAGAUGAUGAGGUGGAUAGGUCUGGGGUGUAAGUACGGCGACGUAUGUAGCUGACAGAUACUAAUCGAUCGAGGACUUAACCUAUUAU